UAGGGAAUAUUGGUCAAUGGGCGAGAGCCUGAACCAGCCAAGUCGCGUGAAGGAAGAGGGAUCUAUGGUUCGUAAACUUCUUUUGCAGGGGAAUAAAGUGCGGGACGUGUCCUGUUUUGUAUGUACCCUGAGAAUAAGGAUCGGCUAACUCCGUGCCAGCAGCCGCGGUAAUACGGAGGAUCCGAGCGUUAUCCGGACUUAUUGGGUUUAAAGGGUGCGUAGGUGGAUUGUUAAGUCAGUGGUGAAAGUUUUCAGCUCAACUGAAAAAUUGCCGUUGAAACUGUCGAUCUUGAGUGCAAAUGAGGUAGGCGGAAUGUGUUGUGUAGCGGUGAAAUGCUUAGAUAUAACACAGAACUCCGAUUGCGAAGGCAGCUUACUGGGAUGCAACUGACACUGAUGCACGAAAGCGUGGGUAUCAAACA
rnacentral:rRNA from 1 species